CGGCGAGUGAAGCGGCAACAGCUCAAAUUUGAAAGCUGGCCCUUUCAGGGUCCGCAUUGUAAUUUGUAGAGGAUGAUUCGGCGAGGGCUCCCGCCUAAGUCCCCUGGAACGGGGCGUCAUAGAGGGUGAGAAUCCCGUAUGCGGUGGGCUGCCUUAGCCAUGUGAAUCUCCUUCGACGAGUCGAGUUGUUUGGGAAUGCAGCUCUAAAUGGGAGGUAAAUUUCUUCUAAAGCUAAAUACCGGCCAGAGACCGAUAGCGCACAAGUAGAGUGAUCGAAAGAUGAAAAGCACUUUGGAAAGAGAGUUAAAAAGUACGUGAAAUUGUUGAAAGGGAAGCGCUUGCAACCAGACUUGUCCGCAGUUGCUCAGCCGGUCUCCUGACCGGCGUACUCUUCUGCGGCCAGGCCAGCAUCAGUUCGGGCGGUCGGAUAAAGACCUCGGGAAUGUAGCUCCUCUCGGGGAGUGUUAUAGCCCGGGGUGGAAUGCGGCCAGCCUGGACUGAGGAUCUCGCUUCGGCAAGGAUGCUGGCGUAAUGGUUGUAAGCGGCCCGUCUUGAAACACGGACCAAGGAGUCUAACAUCUAUGCGAGUGUUUGGGUGUCAAACCCAUACGCGUAAUGAAAGUGAACGGAGGUGGGAACCCGCAAGGGUGCACCAUCGGCCGAUCCUGAUGUCUUCGGAUGGAUUUGAGCAAGAGCAUAGCUGUUGGGACCCGAAAGAUGGUGAACUAUGCCUGAAUAGGGUGAAGCCAGAGGAAACUCUGGUGGAGGCUCGCAGCGGUUCUGACGUGCAAAUCGAUCGUCAAAUUUGGGUAUAGGGGCGAAAGACUAAUCGAACCAU
rnacentral:rRNA from 2 species